rnacentral:rRNA from 14 species
UCCCGGGCCUUGUACACACCGCCCGUCACACCAUGGGAGCGGGUUCUGCCAGAAGUAGUUAGCCUAACCGCAAGGAGGGCGAUUACCACGGCAGGGUUCGUGACUGGGGUGAAGUCGUAACAAGGUAGCCGUAUCGGAAGGUGCGGCUGGAUCACCUCCUU